UACGGCUCAGUAACACGUGGAUAACCUGCCCUGCGGUGGGAAAUAACCCCGGGAAACUGGGGAUAAUGUCCCAUAGACUACGGAUACUGGAAUGUUCUGUAGUUCAAAGAUUUAUCGCCACAGGAUGGGUCUGCGGCCGAUUAGGUAGUUGUUGGGGUAACGGCCCAACAAGCCCUUGAUCGGUACGGGUUGUGGGAGCAAGAGCCCGGAGAUGGAUUCUGAGACACGAAUCCAGGCCCUACGGGGCGCAGCAGGCGCGAAAACUUUACAAUGCGGGAAACCGUGAUAAGGGAACUCCGAGUGUCCGUAAAUGCGGACUGUCCGUAUGUUUAAAAAGCAUGCGAAGAAAGGGCCGGGCAAGACCGGUGCCAGCCGCCGCGGUAAUACCGGCGGCUCGAGUGGUGGCCACUAUUACUGGGCUUAAAGCGUUCGUAGCUGGGUUGUUUAGUCUCUUGGGAAAUCUACCGGCUUAACCGAUAGGCGUCCAAGGGAUACUGGCAAUCUAGGGACCGGGAGAGGUGAGGGGUACUUCAGGGGUAGGAGUGAAAUCCUGUAAUCCUUGGGGGACCACCUGUGGCGUAGGCGCCUCACCAGAACGGCUCCGACAGUGAGGGACGAAAGCUGGGGGAGCAAACCGGAUUAGAUACCCGGGUAGUCCCAGCCGUAAACGAUGCGCGUUAGGUGUAUCGAUGACCACGAGUCAUCGAGGUGCCGAAGGGAAACCGUGAAACGCGCCGCCUGGGAAGUACGGUCGCAAGGCUGAAACUUAAAG
rnacentral:rRNA from 1 species